AAAUAAUUAAUUUAAAAAAAAAUAUUUAGCUUCGGACUAAAAAAUUAUAUUUAGACUAUAAUAUUUCU
rnacentral:tRNA from 1 species